UACGUAGGGGGCAAGCGUUGUCCGGAUUUAUUGGGCGUAAAGAGCGUGUAGGCGGCUUUACAGGUCCGUUGUGAAAACUCGAGGCUCAACCUCGAGACGCCGGUGGAAACCGUAAAGCUAGAGUCCGGAAGAGGAGAGUGGAAUUCCUGGUGUAGCGGUGAAAUGCGCAGAUAUCAGGAGGAACACCAAUUGCGAAGGCAGCUCGCUGGGACGUAACUGACGCUGAGACGCGAAAGCGUGGGGAGCAAACAGG
rnacentral:rRNA from 1 species